rnacentral:lncRNA from 1 species
UCAAAAAUAUAUCAUUUCCCGUAACAAAAUAAUAAUGUCAUGAACUCAUCCAAGCAUGAAGCAUGUGUUUGUUAAAGGAAAAAAAGGCCAAGAGAUGAAGAAAAAAUUAAACAAGAUAUUGAUAUUUUCAGAAUAUUUUUUGAUAUUUCUACAUGAAAAGUGUUGCUAUAGAUGUAUAGCGACGAUUUUUUCCGUCGCUAUAUGAUCUAUAACGACGGUUUUCAUGUGAAAAUAUCAUUUUCUGUUGUGGAUUUAUCAGUUUUCAACAAAAAUACAAACAAAUGACCAAAUAUAGAUGAAAUAGCAUAGAGACCUCGCAAGGCAAGGCUUUUCUGGGAAAAAAUGAGGAAAAUAUGGCUGUCGGUGGUGCAAUGACGACGCCGGGAUUUUUGCUUUUAAGCAAUUAAGCUCGGCGUCCCUCAUUGCACCACUAACAGCCAUGUUUCUAUAAGCAUCAAGAAAUGAAAGCCAGGCCUUAC